UACGGAGGAUGCGAGCGUUAUCCGGGUUUAUUGGGUUUAAAGGGUGCGUAGGCGGACUGUCAAGUCAGCGGUAAAAUUGAGAGGCCCAACCUCUUCCCGCCGUUGAAACUGGUGGUCUUGAGUGGAUGAGAAGUACGCGGAAUGCGUGGUGUAGCGGUGAAAUGCAUAGAUAUCACGCAGAACUCCGAUUGCGAAGGCAGCGUACCGGCAUCCAACUGACGCUGAGGCACGAAAGCGUGGGGAUCAAAUAGG
rnacentral:rRNA from 1 species